rnacentral:rRNA from 1 species
CCCUUAGAUGUUCUGGGCAGCACGCGCGCUACAAUGGUCUUCGCAAACGGAUGCAUUCUCGAAGGAGAAUGCCAAUCUUGGAAUCUAUGCCUUUGUCGGGACAGUUGCUUGCAAUUUUUCGACUCGAACCAGGAAUUCCUUGUAAUCGUGAUUCAUCACAUCACGAUGAAUACGUCCCUGCCCUUUGUACACACCGCCCGUCGCUCCUACCGAUCGAAGAGUUAGGUGAAUUGUUUUGAUCGAUAAGAUGUGACUAUGGUCAACUCUCGUUGUGAAAUUCUGUGAAUCUGACUGUUUAGAGGAAGGAAAAGUCGUAACA